rfam:Candidatus Burkholderia crenata strain TZHbot9 BCREchr_ctg329, whole genome shotgun sequence.
GCCUGGUGCAUGAAAGGGCAACGGCGUCGAGCCGGAACGAGAAGUUAGCAAAGGCCAUAGUAGUCACAGGAUAGGCCGGUGAGGCUGAAGCUAGUGACGAAGGGC